rnacentral:rRNA from 1 species
UACGUAGGGUGCGAGCGUUAAUCGGAAUUACUGGGCGUAAAGCGUGCGCAGGCGGCUUUGCAAGACAGAUGUGAAAUCCCCGGGCUUAACCUGGGAACUGCAUUUGUGACUGCAUGGCUGGAGUGCGGCAGAGGGGGAUGGAAUUCCGCGUGUAGCAGUGAAAUGCGUAGAUAUGCGGAGGAACACCGAUGGCGAAGGCAAUCCCCUGGGCCUGCACUGACGCUCAUGCACGAAAGCGUGGGGAGCAAACAGG